AAGGGACCGGAUAUUUCGUCUUAACCUCUACAAUAUCAACCGUACGAGAUGCGAGGCUGACUCUUUGACUCUAGCUCCAUCAAGUGUUGCAAAUUGUGUAUCAAAAGGCAAGUCUGAACACUAUGACUGCAGAAACCACAUCAGGGUUAUCCAGCCAGUUGGAGAAGGAAAUCAGCUGUACGUUUGUGGAACUAAUGCACACAACCCCAUGGACUGGAUCAUCC